rnacentral:rRNA from 1 species
AAGAUGGCGACCGGCGCACGGGUGAGUAACACGUAUCCAACCUGCCGAUAACUCCGGAAUAGCCUUUCGAAAGAAAGAUUGAUACCGGAUAGUAUACGAAUAUCGCAUGAUAUUUUUAUUAAAGAAUUUCGGUUAUCGAUGGGGAUGCGUUCCAUUAGUUUGUUGGCGGGGUAACGGCCCACCAAGACUACGAUGGAUAGGGGUUCUGAGAGGAAGGUCCCCCACAUUGGAACUGAGACACGGUCCAA